AUGAACACUGAAAAUCACCAAUAUGUUGCUGAUGCUAAUGGAUUUGAUAGAGUUACCAAGUCUGAGGUCAAUAAGAAAAAUAUAAUGCCAGUAUCUUAUGCGGGCAAACUUCGCUACAUGACUGAAAACUUCCAUGAUGCUGUCGCUGUUUCACGUGUCCAUGGCUUACUUGAUAUAUUCACAGACUUCACGUAUGAUCCAAACUGGCCUGAGAUAGUUCAGGGUCUUGAGCAUGGACAACAAGCAGUCGAUGAGGCUGAUUUUACUGCUCAAGUGUAUCAACUGAAACUCCUUGAAUACGUGGAAAAAAUUAAGACCGGACAGGUGUUUGGGCCUGUAGUUACUGUCCUCCACUGCGUGGACUUCCAGAAGAGGACUCUGCCCCAUGCACAUGUCCUUGUUUGGCUGAAAAAGAUUAUGGGCAGGGAUCUGCGUCCACUAAUGUUGAUGAUGAUGCUCUUGCGAUUGCACAUGAUAAUGCCAUGGAGGCUGCACUUCGCUGCUUUGGAUCUAAUAACUAAAGCCCUGUCCACAAAGACAAGCGCUCAUGAGCCUACUACUGUUGAAAAUGCCCAAAUAAAUUGUACCGACCCUACACACACCCGGCUUUUCCUCGGCCGUUGCAUCUCUAGGCCCAGGCUUAAGUAG
rnacentral:rRNA from 1 species